AGCCUCGUAUUCGAAAUAGUCUUUAUACCUAGCAGUAUCCUGAGUACGGCGAGACACGAGAAAUCUCGUCGGAAUCUGGGAGGACCAUCUCCCAACCCUAAAUACUCUCUAGUGACCGAUAGUGAACCAGUACCGUGAGGGAAAGGUGAAAAGCACCCCGGGAGGGGAGUGAAAUAGAACCUGAAACCGUGUGCCUACAACAAGUUCGAGCCCGUUAAUGGGUGAGAGCGUGCCUUUUGUAGAAUGAACCGGCGAGUUACGAUAUGAUGCGAGGUUAAGUUGAAGAGACGGAGCCGUAGGGAAACCGAGUCUUAAUAGGGCGCAUUAGUAUCAUGUCGUAGACCCGAAACCAUGUGACCUACCCAUGAGCAGGUUGAAGGUGAGGUAAAACUCACUGGAGGACCGAACCAGGGCACGUUGAAAAGUGCUUGGAUGACUUGUGGGUAGCGGAGAAAUUCCAAACGAACUUGGAGAUAGCUGGUUCUCUCCGAAAUAGCUUUAGGGCUAGCGUCGAUGUUAAGUCUCUUGGAGGUAGAGCACUGUUUGGGUGAGGGGUCCAUCCCGGAUUACCAAUCUCAGAUAAACUCCGAAUGCCAACGAGAUAUAAUCGGCAGUCAGACUGCGAGUGCUAAGAUCCGUAGUCGAAAGGGAAACAGCCCAGACCACCAGCUAAGGUCCCAAAAUAUAUGUUAAGUGGAAAAGGAUGUGGGGUUGCACAGACAACUAGGAUGUUAGCUUAGAAGCAGCUAUUCAUUCAAAGAGUGCGUAAUAGCUCACUAGUCGAGUGACCCUGCGCCGAAAAUGUACCGGGGCUAAAACAUAUUACCGAAGCUGUGGAUACCUUUAUAGGUAUGGUAGGAGAGCGUUCUAUGUGCGAAGAAGGUGUACCGUGAGGAGUGCUGGAGCGCAUAGAAGUGAGAAUGCCGGUAUGAGUAGCGAAAGACAGGUGAGAAUCCUGUCCACCGUAAGACUAAGGUUUCCAGGGGAAGGCUCGUCCGCCCUGGGUUAGUCGGGACCUAAGGAGAGACCGAAAGGUGUAUCCGAUGGACAACAGGUUGAUAUUCCUGUACUAGAGUAUAUAGUGAUGGAGGGACGCAGUAGGCUAACUAAACCAGACGAUUGGAAGUGUCUGGCCAAGCAGUGAGGUGUGAUAUGAGUCAAAUGCUUAUAUCUAUAACAUUGAGCUGUGAUGGGGAGCGAAGUUUAGUAGCGAAGUUAGUGAUGUCACACUGCCGAGAAAAGCUUCUAGCGUUAAUUAUACUCUACCCGUACCGCAAACCGACACAGGUAGUCGAGGCGAGUAGCCUCAGGUGAGCGAGAGAACUCUCGUUAAGGAACUCGGCAAAAUGGCCCCGUAACUUCGGGAGAAGGGGCGCUGACUUAUGGUCAGCCGCAGUGAAUAGGCCCAAGCAACUGUUUAUCAAAAACACAGCUCUCUGCUAAAUCGUAAGAUGAUGUAUAGGGGGUGACGCCUGCCCGGUGCUGGAAGGUUAAGAGGAGUGCUUAGCGUAAGCGAAGGUAUGAAUUGAAGCCCCAGUAAACGGCGGCCGUAACUAUAACGGUCCUAAGGUAGCGAAAUUCCUUGUCGGGUAAGUUCCGACCCGCACGAAAGGCGUAAUGAUUUGGGCACUGUCUCAACGAGAGACUCGGUGAAAUUUUAGUACCUGUGAAGAUGCAGGUUACCCGCGACAGGACGGAAAGACCCCAUGGAGCUUUACUGCAGUUUGAUAUUGAGUAUCUGUACCACAUGUACAGGAUAGGUAGGAGCCUAUGACCUCGGGACGCCAGUUUCGAGUGAGGCGUUGUUGGGAUACUACCCUUGUGUUAUGGCUACUCUAACCCAGAUAGGUUAUCCCUAUCGGAGACAGUGUCUGACGGGCAGUUUGACUGGGGCGGUCGCCUCCUAAAAGGUAACGGAGGCGCCCAAAGGUUCCCUCAGAAUGGUUGGAAAUCAUUCGCAGAGUGUAAAGGUAUAAGGGAGCUUGACUGCGAGAGCUACAACUCGAGCAGGGACGAAAGUCGGGCUUAGUGAUCCGGUGGUUCCGUAUGGAAGGGCCAUCGCUCAACGGAUAAAAGCUACCCUGGGGAUAACAGGCUUAUCUCCCCCAAGAGUUCACAUCGACGGGGAGGUUUGGCACCUCGAUGUCGGCUCAUCGCAUCCUGGGGCUG
rnacentral:rRNA from 1 species